CCUCUGUGAACCGUUUGACCUCUGGGUCUUAAAAUCAAUACAAACAUCAGUGUAACGAACGUCUUGUUAACAUAACAAAAAUAAAACUUUUAACAACGGAUCUCUUGGCUCUCGCAUCGAUGAAGAACGCAGCGAAAUGCGAUAAGUAAUGUGAAUUGCAGAAUUCAGUGAAUCAUCGAAUCUUUGAACGCACCUUGCGCCUUUUGGUAUUCCGAAAGGCAUGCCUGUUUGAGUGUCAUGAAAUCUCAAUCCCGUCUGGUUUAUCACCUGGCGUGGACUUGUACCUGGGCGUCUGCCGGUUACACGGCUCGCCUCAAAUGACUUAGUAGGAUCGCUCGCAUCCGUGACAGACGUAAUAAGUUUCGUCUUGUCCCUUGCUUGCGUCAAGCCUGCUCAGAACCUGCCUUUGCGCA
rnacentral:rRNA from 1 species